rnacentral:lncRNA from 1 species
UCAGCAUAUGGAAACUCCCAGGCUAGGGGUGGAAUCACAGCUGCAGAUGCCGGCCUACACCACAGCUCACAGCAAUGUCAGAUCCUUAACCCACUGAGCGAGCCAGGGAUCAAAUCCGCAUCCUCAUAGACACUAGUUGGAUUCAUUUCCACUGCGCCAUAACAGGAACUCCUGGAGUCUCAAUUUUCUCAGCCAGAAAAAUCACAACAGCAGUAUCUCCAUUGCAGGAUGCUUACGAGCAUUAUAUGAAAUCAGAUACAAAAAGUCCCUGGUAAAUGCUUGUUUGUAUUCGAAUACUCACAAAUGAACAACCUAAGGCAAAAUUAACUUUGAAAGAACUCCAAAAAGAGCCUUUCCACAUGACAUGAUGCACAAGUAUGUCCACAUGUAAAAAUGUACAUUAAAGGUCUGCUUGUUCUAUUGUAUAUAUGAAAUACACCUCAAUCUUAAAAGUUACAGGAGAAGUAGUACCUGGCUAGAGACACCCAUGAAGGUUUAUUAACAACGAUGUUGACAGAACCAGUCUGUAUUCUAGCAAAAAACAGAAACAAACAGCCUGCAGGAGGUGAACAAUGAAAUAAAUUCAGGUACUUCCAUGUGGGAGAAUACUGUUUGUCUAUUGAAAUUAUGUUUUCGGAGAGGUUUUAAUGCCAUGAGAACAUGCUCAAAAUGAAAUGGAAAGUGGGAAGAAAACAGGAUAUGAAAACUGUGUGUAGAAGAGAAUUCCAGUUGAUAGCUCAUAUCCGCACAGACCACGACUAGACAAAUCUGAUGAAGGUGUCACCAGCUGUCAUCCCUGGGGGACAACUGUGGGUGGUAUUUAUUUUUCCUUUAUACUUUUCUGUAUUUUCUAGACUAUCUAAAAUGAAUAUAUAGUACUCUAAGAGUCAGAGAAAAAAAACACAUAAAAGAUAAAUGCCUACCGUAGAGCACUUAGAAGAAGUGGUGAUAUUAUGGAAAUGAGGUUUCCACCGAGGUACCGCACUCCAGAAAGUGUCAUGUGUGGGGGUUGCUGGAGAAGAGAAAAACUUUGCGCAUCUCAUCACCAAAGAAAAUAGAGCCUUUGACUCCAACCCCAGGCAGAAAAGCCAGAAACUGGGUUACAGGAUGAUCAAAAAAUGAUUGGCUGAAAGCCCAAGGCAUCACGUAAUUAAGCAUUCUGACUGGGAAAUUAGGGAUAACAGGGAAGAGAAAAACCUUCAGGAUUAUUGUGGUAUUUCAAUCCUUAAGACACUAGAGAAGUUUCCCAGUGAGAAAAACCUUGUUUCUAAACAGUCUUUUUUACAUGAUCCAGAGACUCAUUCAGGGAUCGCCUUAUUGUUUUAUUAUCAUUAUUACCAUUAUCAUACAAUUCUGUAAAAGGGCAAAUUGUCUAAAAUGUGAGGAUGGUUUUCCAGUUUUUAAUUUAAAAGACGAGAAACUGUGAGUUUAUCUCCAAAGAAAAAGAAUAUUAAGUCUCCGCAGCCAGGAGUACUUUCACUGUGUGGGAUUUUUUAUGCUCACAUCCUUCCUCUUGAAAAAAAUCUAAACUGGAAGAUCAUCUUUGAUUUUUGGUCUUUAUCUCUACAUGUCUAAUGAUCCUGAAAGGAUAACAUGAAAGGAGGCCACAAAGUGAAUUACCUUUUAUCCCAGCAAGCCCGCCAUGUGACACUGGGGGGAGGGGCUAUUUAAUGAUUGAGGUGGAGUGGUUGUGGGGAGAGGGUGGAUUAGGAGACCCACAGCCACUGCCAUGGAAGGGACAUCCUGGUCUGUGACCCAUGGGACAAAGCUUGGCACAGAGCCCUAGGCCACCCCUGCCCACCAGCUCUCCCCCAGGUUGCAGCUGGUGCUCUGCCCACCCUGCCACCACCCAGACAUCAGGCAGACUGACACCUGGCCAGGGGCCACCGUGGGCGUGAGAGUACAUUGCAUACAGCCUUAGGAAAAGGACAGGGGUCUCCAGGUGAGGGUGGGAACAUGAGCACAGCAGGGCAAAAAGGCAAGGGGAGCACCUCAAAACUCCAAGGACAGGGCAGGAAAGGGACCCUGGUAAAAAGGGCCAGCUGAGUUUCUAGAGGGUACCUGACAGGUGACAACAGAGUAUGGGUUUUAGCCAAAGACUUUUGAUCGUUUCACAAUUAACAAGUUAGACUGGGGUAUUUAUUCCCUUGUCAGUAAUAUCUCAAUAAAGCUGGAAAAAAUAGGGAGACCCCCCCCAAAAGAAAAUAAGCAUCUUUAAAAUCAGGAUCUGAAGACUGUGUGUAGAGAAGAAGGAAGAGGAUUUCAAGGUAAGAUCUUUAAGUUAGGAGGAAGGCUGGCUCAUUCAAAGAAAUGGGAGAAGGUGGGCAGGGGCCCAACUGUGCAAGGUUCUGGGAGUGGUGGAAAGGAUUUUAGUCUUCCUUUCAAAGGUAAAGGAAAGCUUUGAAGAGACUGUUGGCUCAAUUCUCCCAAGAACAUUUUGUAACUCGUAGCAUCCUAGAUGCACUGAAGAACAGUUAAUUCAUCAUCACAUCAUAGAUGCCUUCGGGGCUAACACUUUCAAGGAAGUGACUGAGAAAGAUUAGUUCAGAGUGUAUUUCAGUAAACUCCUUUUGUUAUUUUAGGAACUGUAUCCCUCAUUCAGGGGGUAGAAGGCUGAAUCUGCCUUAAUGCAAAGCUCUACUGUUCUUCCGGGGUGGGGGCGGGGGAGGCAGAAUAGCCUAGUGGUCACAGAGACUUGGGUUGAAAACCCAACUUUGUCUUUAUCUUGACCUUGGCAAGCCACUUAACCUUUAUAUACGUCUCAGCUACUGCAACACUUACAUCACUACUUCUUCCAACAAACGCCAAGAGAUAACUCAUAAGGAGUUUGGCAUGUGUUUAUCUUUUGACAGAACAUGUACUACUAUAUUACUAGUAUCAAAAAGCAUCUGAGGAAGGACUUCCUAUGUCCUGUGAGCCAGAACUACACUUCUACCUUCCACAGUGGUUGAGAAGCUACUUCAUUAAAACAUAUCUUUAGUUCUUAGCCUUUACUCUAGACUGAGUUACCGCCUCCAGUAAGCGAAAAUAGUUUGGGAUAUUUUUUCCCAAGGGACUGGUGUUGGUCAGUUUUCCGGGCAUGCUGGAUGAGGGAGGUAUGAUGAAAUCUCCAAGUUGGGGCUCAACUGUGGGCAACACAAGGCAGGAGUCUCUCUUGGGGUUUUCUGGGAGGCAGUCUUACAGGCAGUGUCGUGUAAAUUUCUGCUGUACAGCAAAGUGAUUCAGUUAUACAUAUAUAUAUACAUAUAUAUAUAUAUACACACAUUCUUUUUAAAAAUUCUUUUCCAUUAUGAUUUAUCACGGGGGACUGAAUAUAGUUCCAAGUGCUAUACAUAGGAUUUUGUUAUUUAUCCAUUCUAUAUAUAGUAGUUUGCAUCUGCUAACCCCAGAACUCCCAGUCCAUUCUACUCCCACCCACUCCACUUUGGCAACCACAAGCCUGUUUUCUAUGUCUGUGAGUCUGUUUCUGUUUCAUAGAUAAGUUCAUUUGUGUCAUAUUUCAGAUCCCACAUAUAAGUGAGAUCAUAUGAUAUUUGUCUUCUCUUUUUGACUUACUUCACUUAGUAUGAUAAUCUUUAGUUCUACCCAUGUUGCUGCCAAUGGCAUUAUUUUCGUUCUUUUUUGUGGCUGAGUAAUAUUCUAUUGUAUAUAUGCACAUGCUCUUCACCCAUUCAUCUGUCCAUGGACAUUUAGGUUAUUUCCAUGACUUGGCUAUUGUAAACAGUGCUGCUAUGAAUAUAAGGGUCCAUGUAUCUUUUUGAAUUAUAGUUUUGUCUGGAUAUAUGCCCAGGAGAGGGAUUUCUGGAUCAUAUGGAAGCACUGUUUUUAGUUUUUUGAGAAAUAUCCAUAUUGUUUUCCAUAGUGGAUGCAUCAAUUCACAUUCCCACCAACAGUGUAGGAGGGUUCCUUUUUUUCCACACCCACUCCAGCAUUUGCUAUUUAUAGACUUCUUAAUCAUGGCCAUUCUGACCUGACCAAUACUAUUUUAAGGGUAACCUGAAAAGUGGCAGAAAUCAGACAGACAUUAUUCUCUCCAUGGACCAAGCCACAAUACAUCUCUACCCAUUUUAGUCAAGAAAGACAGGAAAACCAGUCUCAGAUAUGUCCCAAGCAUCUAGAACAAUGGGUCCUCCACAUAUAAUUGUUAAAAGAAGGAAGGAAGCAGGGGGUUGGAAAGCCUUUCCUGGCAUUUUGAUGUGGAUGAUAAAGACUGAGAUUGGAACAGAAUAAUUUUUAGCAUCCUGGGACAUGUGGGCAGGACCCACCUCAAUCUCUAGUCUUUCAGGACACUGAGAGUUAAACCCACUAAUUCAAUAUCUUAGUCUGUCUCACUUCAUGGUUCCCAGGGCCCUUUCCCACAUGUUCUUUCAGUUCCUGCCAACAAUUCUGUGAAAUAGACGUUAUUACCCUUUUUUUAGGGAUGUGGAAACUGAAGCUGAGAGAAGUAGUCAAACCAGGCUGCUAGUCACAGCCAUUAGAGGAGCUGUUAAAAUGCAGACUCCCAAGCCCUAGCCUCAGGUCUACGGCAUCAGAACGUCAGGUUUGGGGAGAGGGGCAGGACUGGGGCUCUGAAUUUAUAAUAAUCACCGCCCCCCUGCAUAUUCUCAACACACCUCCACUCAGGAACCAUUAGGUCCCUGGGUGAUCACAGUGCUGGGAGCCCCACCUGACAUCCUCCUCUUGUGUCUCCCAAUUUACUUCCCAGUGUCCUGUCCCUCAACCCACCAUCAACUGUUCUCAUCUGGCAACUUUAUCUGGGCCAGAUUUUAAACCACCAUUCUGGGAACCAAGCCAGCAGAUAGAUUCCAGGAGCCUCUAUGGGGCAACCUAAGCCAGCCUACUUUGCCUCUCCCCGCAUAGUGCAAUGUGCAAGGUAUUUCAUUCAACUAUACUGAUGUCAAACUUAAUUUUAAAAUGGUGACCAAGAGGACCUGAUGGAUUUUAGAAUGGUAUCAUACAUGGCCAGGAAAUCAAACGGAGGUGGGUGAAGGAAGUCAACCAUUUCACAGAGGGCCUCUGGACAGUGCCCAGGGCCAAUCCACCUCCUCCUGUUAAAAGUUGGCAUGACACUGUAAAUUGGCUAUAAUUUAUAAAUAUAAAAUUACACAACUGGAUACUAAAAAAAAAGUGAACGGGAAUAACGGAGAAUGCAUCUGAACAAAUUACUCAGUGUGAUGGUCGUUCUCUAUAUUUACACUGAUGUGUUAUGUUAUUGGUAACUUCGCACUUCUGGUUUGAGGGCCAGUUAACAGUUCCACCUUUCCACAUGCGUGCUUCUCCUUCUCACUUCUAGGUUUUAGAAACAUGCAUAUAUGGUUAAGAAGACAGAUAAAGCAAAAGAUGAAAACACAGAGACAUUUCCUCAAAUAACAUGGAGGAUGAAAACACAAACAAACCGGGGCUAUAAAAUCUAGAAAACAUGAAGAGGGGGCCUGAUCUAUAAACGAUAUUUGGCCUGCUCGCAGAUUUUUACUCAAAAGAUGCCGAUCAUUAGUUGUCGGCAGAAACACACAAAGCAUUGUGAGUGAUGUACCUGCUGUGGCAGAAGAAAGGGGAAGAUCAAAGACCUGCUUUUGCAAAACCUGACUUGAUAUGUUAAUCAGCAAGAGAAUAACAGAAGUACGAGCAAGAUAUUAAAGAUAAUAUUAAAUGAAAACCCCUCAGAAUAUAGUCAAUAGAGUCCAAUUCCUCUACAAUACCGAGUAAUGGGUGAUUUAGAUCUAUAGGAUUAAAGGGGGCCUAGUGGAAAACCAGAACAUUAGAGUACUUUUUGUCUGGGUAUGGUGGUAUACUCAGGCGAAAAAUGGCUGUUCUGGUCACUCAUGCUCCAUAAAGACCC